UUUAGUGCAACAUUGCAAUCAGCAGAUUUCAUCGCAGUGCACGUGCACGGCCGCGCCUACGCCCCGCACCUCGAUGUGUGUUUGAUUGCUUCCCGAAUUUAGAGUGAUAUAGAAUAAGUUUAAACCUUUUUCAAAAAUUAACCAAACAAAUGCAUAGUGUUAUUCUGACCCGCACCGAGUCGAAGUUCUCUACAUUACGUCGGGGCGAGCACAUUAGUGCGCCUUUUAAAUAACAAUUACAAGCGGCACGUGGUGCCAUCCCCUGCAGCUCAGUGGAGCCGCGUGCUCCCGGCCGCGACCACUCAAUAAGCAUCUGUACGCGCUCAGGAACACGACUCAAUUUACUAAACUACUUCUGGCGACCGGUAUUUAUGCAGCUGUGUUUUUUUUCAUUUGAACGUUGCGGAUAUCUGGUCUAUACAAUAAUAAUGUGAAGAGAUUAAAUGUAACAAUUUAGAGCACUCGGUGUGACUGACAUCCUUGAGCGUGACGGCUGACGCGUGCGCGAGUGAGACCGCAGUGACGUCACGAGGCGUCGCGGUGCUGGGCUCGCAUCAACUGUAGCUAUGUACUGAAGAAUAACAGAAGGUGAGAAGGCGCCCGCGCCGGCCUUGUCGUGGCGGGACGUGGCAGCGCGUGGUGGGACGUGACAGUGCGUGGCGGGACGUGGCAGCGCGUGGCGGGACGUGGCAGCGCGAGGCGGCGGGACGUGACAGUGCGUGGCGGGACGUGGCGGAACGGGAACGUGCGCCACUAAAAUCUGUGAAACGUGAUGUAUCCGUUUGCAUAUCACUCGCUCGCAUUCGACGAGAAAGUUUGUGAAUAUUUAGGCCGUUUAUCCACCGCCGCCGUCACCGGGCCGUCACCGAGAACGAGAUUUUUUCGGGCAGAGUAUAAUAUCGGCGGCCGGAUGACGGCGCUCUGGCAACGGCCGUGCGGUGAACACACGGCGUAAUAGACGUCAAAGUUGCUACAAUAUAUACUAGCCAGCGGAGAACUUGUCAUCUUAUAUCUCGUCAAUUAUAUAAAUAUUGUACGUACGCAGACGUUACCUGAGACUCUUCCUGACAAAACGAAUGACUUGAAUGAAUAUGGCGAGCUCACCGCCGGGCGGAGCCGCGCGCACGCACUCUGAGCGCGUUCUGCUAUUUUGUGCAAUUUGUACAUUAUUAUUAUUAUAUGUGACCUAUUUGGUAAAUUAUGUUUAGUCGAUAAAUUCAUAUUUACCGGAAGUUUUACUAAUUAUUUAGCUGUUUUAGAAUAAAAAUAGUUACUUAAAAA